UACGUAGGGGGCAAGCGUUGUCCGGAUUUAUUGGGCGUAAAGAGCGUGUAGGCGGCUUGGUAGGUCCGCUGUGAAAACUCGAGGCUCAACCUCGAGAUGUCGGCGGAAACCACUUGGCUAGAGUUCGGAAGAGGAGAGUGGAAUUCCCGGUGUAGCGGUGAAAUGCGCAGAUAUCGGGAAGAACACCUAUGGCGAAGGCAGCUCUCUGGGACGGUACUGACGCUGAGACGCGAAAGCGUGGGGAGCGAACAGG
rnacentral:rRNA from 1 species